rnacentral:rRNA from 1 species
AUUGAACGCUGGCGGCAGGCCUAACACAUGCAAGUCGAACGGUAACAGGAAGAAGCUUGCUUCUUUGCUGACGAGUGGCGGACGGGUGAGUAAUGUCUGGGAAACUGCCUGAUGGAGGGGGAUAACUACUGGAAACGGUAGCUAAUACCGCAUAACGUCGCAAGACCAAAGAGGGGGACCUUCGGGCCUCUUGCCAUCGGAUGUGCCCAGAUGGGAUUAGCUAGUAGGUGGGGUAACGGCUCACCUAGGCGACGAUCCCUAGCUGGUCUGAGAGGAUGACCAGCCACACUGGAACUGAGACACGGUCCAGACUCCUACGGGAGGCAGCAGUGGGGAAUAUUGCACAAUGGGCGCAAGCCUGAUGCAGCCAUGCCGCGUGUAUGAAGAAGGCCUUCGGGUUGUAAAGUACUUUCAGCGGGGAGGAAGGGAGUAAAGUUAAUACCUUUGCUCAUUGACGUUACCCGCAGAAGAAGCACCGGCUAACUCCGUGCCAGCAGCCGCGGUAAUACGGAGGGUGCAAGCGUUAAUCGGAAUUACUGGGCGUAAAGCGCACGCAGGCGGUUUGUUAAGUCAGAUGUGAAAUCCCCGGGCUCAACCUGGGAACUGCAUCUGAUACUGGCAAGCUUGAGUCUCGUAGAGGGGGGUAGAAUUCCAGGUGUAGCGGUGAAAUGCGUAGAGAUCUGGAGGAAUACCGGUGGCGAAGGCGGCCCCCUGGACGAAGACUGACGCUCAGGUGCGAAAGCGUGGGGGAGCAAACAGG